AUUGAACGCUGGCGGCAGGCCUAACACAUGCAAGUCGAACGAGUGGCGGACGGGUGAGUAAUGUCUGGGAAACUGCCCGAUGGAGGGGGAUAACUACUGGAAACGGUAGCUAAUACCGCAUACUAUCGGAUGUGCCCAUAUGGGAUUAGCUAGUAGGUGGGGUAAAGGCUCACCUAGGCGACGAUCCCUAGCUGGUCUGAGAGGAUGACCAGCCACACUUGAACUGUGACACGGGCCAUACUCCUACGGGAGGCAGCAGUGGGGAAUAUUGCACAAGGGGCGCAAGCCUGAUGAAGCCAUGCCGCGUGUAUGAAGAAGGCCGUCGGGUUGUAAAGUACUUUCAGCGGGGAGGCGUUACCCGCAGAAGAAGCACCGGCUAACUCCGUGCCAGCAGCCGCGGUAAUUC
rnacentral:rRNA from 1 species